rnacentral:rRNA from 1 species
GACGUAGGGCGCGAGCGUUGUCCGGAUUUAUUGGGCGUAAAGAGCUCGUAGGCGGCUUGUCGCGUCGUCCGUGAAAACCUGCAGCUCAACUGCAGGCUUGCGGUCGAUACGGGCAGGCUAGAGUUCGGUAGGGGAGACUGGAAUUCCUGGUGUAGCGGUGAAAUGCGCAGAUAUCGGGAAGAACACCUAUGGCGAAGGCAGCUCUCUGGGACGGUACUGACGCUGAGACGCGAAAGCGUGGGGAGCGAACAGG